UUGUCAAAGUGCAAGAAGGGUGGGCUGUGGGUUCUGACUGACAUGCUGCCUGUUUAUCAUGAGGAAGACUUUCCAGCUUCUGUGCUGGUGGAUCGGGGACCAUGACUAAGGAUAGUCAAGACACUAGAAGGGUGGGAACAAUUUAAAGGUUGCUGGGUGGGAGGUAAAACUGUGGAGCUAGAGAUGGUUGAUUAAUGGUAGGUAGUCAGGGCAAGUAAAAUAAAAGGUUCUUCAAGUCUUUGGACCUGCUCCAAUUUCUGUUCUGGUAAAUACUUGACAUCUUUUAAGACUAAACUCCUAUGUUGACAUCAUAUUCUGAUAUUAUUAUUACUCACACACAUGCACAUACAUAUACUCACAUAGAUGCACAUUCACACACAUACACUCACUACAAAUAUUCUCCUUUUUUUAGGUCUUCAAAAUACCCAUCUUUGGGUCUUCUUCCUGCAUUGGUAUCUGAUGAUACCAAUCUGAUGACCAAGCCAAUGUGGGUGUCAGGUAAAUGCCAAGAAAGACAGAACAUUGACCCUGUCGCCAAGAUAAUGUCAUGGUCCCAGGGUCAUGAGACUGAGCCCUUCAUCGUGGAGCCUGCUUGAGAUUCUCUCUCUCUCUCUCUCUCUCUCUCUCUCUCUCUCUCUCUCCCCCUCUCUCCCUCCCUCUCCCUAAAAUAAACAAAUUUAAUGAAAAA